UAUUGAAUAUCUAUUAAUUUUCUUCAUUAUCAAUAUAAACAACUUGCUAACAUUUACAAGUAGUCUAGAAUCUAGAUCUAUUUUGUUUUUACCAUAAAAUGCAACCAAAAAGGGCUUCUAUUUGGACAAAAGAAACUCCAUUGACCAUUCUCAACCAAGAGAUCUUGUUCAACUUCUGGAUGUAGUGAAAGCAAAAAAAUCUUCUUCUAAUAUAUUGUAUCAGCAGCUGAGAGUAAAAUUAGUCCUAUGUUUUCUCAUUCUACUAAAGAUUCAAAACCGGUACAUAACUAGUAUGAUCAGCUCAAGUGGACUUAUUGAAUCUCUGUGCAACCCAUAUUCCUCUAGUAGGAAAAUCUUAACUAUAUUCAGUUCAGUGCCUAAUUUAUGUGAAUAAUUAAUGUGGUUAGAAUGGGAAUCAAAUAAAGAUUUGAUCAUAAUAUAAGAAAGGCUGCCUCAUCAUGUGGUAUUGCGCUCUGGAAUGUUGUAAUCUUAAAAUCUAAAGGAAUAUUUGAAACAUAUAAAUCAAAUAAACAAUUACACUUUUAAAGAAUGGCUGCCCGGCCGUGUGGUGUGCACUCUGUGGCCCAGGGUUCAAACUCUGCCUGCUUCCUUAUCCUGUAAUACGGCAGGAUGUUUGAGCAAGGAUGUAAUAAUCUUCAAAUCUAAUGAAAUAUCUAAAACAUGUAAAACAAUCAAAAUAUUGUAUUAAAAGAUAGCUGCCUUUUCCUGUAGUAUGCACUGCAUACGCGAUUGGCCACGGGUUUAAACUCUGUUGGUUGCCAUCCUCUCCCAUCCUGCAGGAGGCUUGGACAUGAACAGAAUAAUCUUUAGUUAUUUAGGAAGGUCAAAAACUAUAACAUUCAAUUGAAGGAAAGUAGUAUUUUAUUUAUAAAUAUAAAAAAUUUAGUGGUCUUAUGUGGAAAUAACUACAAAUAAUGAAAAAAAAAGCAUCCUAAGAGACUUUCGAGAAGGUGUAACUUAUCAAGAUUGCUAUUGUAAAAUUUAGUUUUUUUUAAUACUUUAAUAAGGAUAAUUGUUCAUAAAAUUUAACUUUUGUUGUGAUUUAUUUUCUUUUAGAAUAAAAAAUUCAUUUGUAAAACUUUAAA